UUGAACGCUGGCGGCAUGCUUUACACAUGCAAGUCGAACGGCAGCGGGGGCUUCGGCCUGCCGGCGAGUGGCGAACGGGUGAGUAAUGCAUCGGAACGUACCCAGUCGUGGGGGAUAACUACGCGAAAGCGUGGCUAAUACCGCAUACGCCCUGAGGGGGAAAGCGGGGGACCUUCGGGCCUCGCGCGAUUGGAGCGGCUGAUGUCGGAUUAGCUGGUUGGUGGGGUAAAGGCCUACCAAGGCGACGAUGGUUAGCUGGUCUGAGAGGAUGAUCAGCCACACUGGAACUGAGAUACGGUCCAGACUCCUACGGGAGGCAGCAGUGAGGAAUCUUGCGCAAUGGGGGAAACCCUGACGCAGCAACGCCGCGUGAGUGAGGAAGGUUUUCGGGUUGUAAAGCUCUUUCAGCCGGAACGAAACGGUACGCUCUAACAUAGCGUGCUAAUGACGGUACCGGCAGAAGAAGCACCGGCUAACUACGU
rnacentral:rRNA from 1 species